rnacentral:rRNA from 1 species
AUUGAACGCUGGCGGCAUGCCUUACACAUGCAAGUCGAACGGUAGCAGGUCUUCGGAUGCUGACGAGUGGCGAACGGGUGGGUAAUACAUCGGAACGUGCCUAGUAGUGGGGGAUAACUACUCGAAAGAGUGGCUAAUACCGCAUGAGAUCUACGGAUGAAAGCAGGGGAUCGCAAGACCUUGUGCUACUAGAGCGGCCGAUGGCAGAUUGGGUAGUUGGUGGGAUAAAAGCUUACCAAGCCGACGAUCUGUAGCUGGUCUGAGAGGACGAUCAGCCACACUGGGACUGAGAAACGGCCCAGACUCCUACGGGAGGCAGCAGUGGGGAAUUUUGGACAAUGGGCGCAAGCCUGAUCCAGCAAUGCCGCGUGAAGGAUGAAGGCCUUCGGGUUGUAAACUGCUUUUGUACGGAACGAAAAGCCCCGGGUUAAUACCCUGGGGUCAUGACGGUACCGUAAGAAUAAGCACCGGCUAACUACGUGCCAGCCGCCGCCGUAA